CUAAAUUUCACUCGACUCCGACGGUAUCAGAAUAUCGUCGAUAGAGAUUAGAAUCUUGUCCUCUCUUAUGAGUGACUGCAACACCUGCACGAUAUACUUUUGGAAUUCGGCCAGUGAUUCCGAGAAUCCUACUAAUAAGCGCGUAUAUUCAUAUUGUGCAUCGGAUGUGGCAAACAGGAAGUAUUUUGUUGAAUUGGGAUGUACUUGUAUCUGGUGAAAACCAGAUCUUUAAGAUCUAACAAAAUAUAAUUCUGGCGCAGUAAGGCGAAUUAAUCUGAAUAAUUCAAUGAUCUAAUAAAGCAUCCGUUAUUUGCCUAACUUGCUUGCGUUCCUGUAAUGCAAAUCUUCUUGGUGCAUACAUAAACCGAAUCAUCCUGGCUACAUAGCUGAAAAUUAUCCAGUGACGGCGGCAGCACCACGGCGGCGGUAGUCUACUGAGACAGCACCGUGCUUCCCGACGGCGACGAAGCUGAGGAAUACUUCCCGAAUUGACACUGACAGAGCCAAAUUGCUACAACUCUUUCGACCGAGAAUGAUGAUUGCGACAGCGGAAUAAGAGUUCACCACGAACGUUCGCCUCUCCUCUUUGAGGGCAAUCAGCAGAUUUUUGUUCGUGAGCGGAAACUAGCAAAUUCGAAUCACGAGGGAAACUUACGGAUCUUUGAUCUCACUUCUGAAAAACUGUAAGGGAUAAGCGGGCAAGCUAAUUCCAUAUCCUUAUCAGGAUG